UGGGGAAUAUUGCACAACGAAGGGAACUCUGAUGCAGCGACGCCGCGUGAACGAAGAAGGCUUUCGAGUCGUAAAGUUCUUUUAUAUGGGAAGAUAAUGACGGUACCAUAAGAAAAAGCCCCGGCUAACUACGUGCCAGCAGCCGCGGUAAUACGUAGGGGGCUAGCGUUGUCCGGAAUCACUGGGCGUAAAGGGUUCGCAGGCGGAAAUGCAAGUCAGGUGUAAAAGGCAGUAGCUUAACUACUGUAAGCAUUUGAAACUGCAUAUCUUGAGAAGAGUAGAGGUAAGUGGAAUUUUUAGUGUAGCGGUGAAAUGCGUAGAUAUUAAAAAGAAUACCGGUGGCGAAGGCGGCUUACUGGGCUCAUUCUGACGCUGAGGAACGAAAGCGUGGGUAGCAAACAGG
rnacentral:rRNA from 1 species